UGCACAGACAACCAGGAUGUUGGCUUAGAAGCAGCCACCAUUGAAAGAGUGCGUAAUAGCUCACUGGUCGAGUGACUCUGCGCCGAAAAUGUAACGGGGCUAAACRCACCACCGAAGCUAUGGCUUGAUGCUUUGCAUCAGGGGUAGGGGAGCGUUGAAUGCGGGUUGAAGGUGUACUGGAAGGAGCGCUGGACUGCAUUCAAGUGAGAAUGCCGGUAUGAGUAACGAAAAGAUCUGUGAGAAUCAGAUCCGCCGAAAGCCUAAGGGUUCCUGAGGAAGGUUCGUCCGCUCAGGGUAAGUCGGGACCUAAGGCGAGGCCGAUAGGCGUAGUCGAAGGACAACAGGUGGAAAUUCCUGUACCACCGUAAUCCGCUAUGAGCGAUGGGGUGACGCAGUAGGGUAGUGACGCGGACUGAUGGAUGUCCGUCUAAGCAGUGAGGCUGAUGUGUAGGCAAAUCCGCACAUCGUAAGGCUGGGCUGUGAUGGGGAGCGAAAAUUACAGUAGCGAAGGUCAUGAUCUCAGACUGCCAAGAAAAGCCUCUAGCUAGGAGAAGGUGCCCGUACCGCAAACCGACACAGGUAGGCGAGAAGAGAAUUCUAAGGCGCGCGGAAGAACUCUCGUUAAGGAACUCGGCAAAAUGACCCCGUAACUUCGGGAGAAGGGGUGCCUCGGUAGGGUGAAUAGCCUGAGGGGGCCGCAGUGAAAAGGCCCAAGCGACUGUUUAGCAAAAACACAGGUCUGUGCGAAGCCGCAAGGCGAAGUAUACGGGCUGACGCCUGCCCGGUGCUGGAAGGUUAAGGGGAGUGGUAAGCCUUCGGGCGAAGCUAUGAACCGAAGCCCCAGUAAACGGCGGCCGUAACUAUAACGGUCCUAAGGUAGCGAAAUUCCUUGUCAGGUAAAUUCUGACCCGCACGAAUGGCGUAACGACUUGGGCGCUGUCUCAACGAGAGAUCCGGUGAAAUUUUAAUACCUGUGAAGAUGCAGGUUACCCGCGACAAGACGGAAAGACCCCAUGGAGCUUUACUGCAGCUUGAUAUUGAAUUUGGGUACGAUCUGUACAGGAUAGGUGGGAGCCGUAGAACUUUGAGCGCCAGCUUGAAGGGAGGCAUCCUUGGGAUACCACCCUGAUCGUAUCUAGGUUCUAACUUGGUACCGUGAUCCGGUACGAGGACAGUGUCAGGUGGGCAGUUUGACUGGGGCGGUCGCCUCCUAAAGAGUAACGGAGGCGCCCCAAGGUUCCCUCAGAAUGGCUGGAAAUCAUUCGAAGAGUGCAAAGGCAGAAGGGAGCUUGACUGCGAGACCUACAAGUCGAGCAGGGACGAAAGUCGGGCUUAGUGAUCCGGUGGUACCGCAUGGAAGGGCCAUCGCUCAACGGAUAAAAGCUACCCUGGGGAUAACAGGCUUAUCUCCCCCAAGAGUCCACAUCGACGGGGAGGUUUGGCACCUCGAUGUCGGCUC
rnacentral:rRNA from 1 species